AGGUGUGUCUCUCUGAAGCAAGCAUACCUGGACCUUCUCAAUGCAUUGUUUGAUCCACACAGCAGAGCGAAGAAUACUAACCACUGUUCCUGCUGAGGGCAGGCGUGUUCAGGCAAAUGUUUCAGGAAGAACAUACAUGCAACUUUGACCUCGUGUGUCGCGUCAGGUGUUUGCAGAUUUAAAGGAAAAGGCAUUCCUCGGGAGGAUUUUCUGACUAAGCAGCAGUUUAAGCAGGAGUGCUGUCUCAUAUUUGCCCUACCUUGAUACAAUAAGACUGCAGAAAAAUGGAGUGUCAGUGUGAAAAGGACAACCCUGAGGAUGCUGCUGGAGGCUGGUGGAACAUGCAGAUGGGAACUUUCACUGUGGUCGGGUAUCUUCUCUACAGAUUCUCUCAGAG